rnacentral:rRNA from 1 species
UACGGAGGGUGCGAGCGUUGUCCGGAAUCAUUGGGCGUAAAGGGCGCGUAGGUGGCGGGACAAGCGUGCGGUGAAAGCCUGGGGCUCAACCCCGGGUCGGCCGUGCGAACUGUUUUGCUUGAGCACUGUAGAGGCAGGCGGAAUUCCGGGUGUAGCGGUGGAAUGCGUAGAAAUCCGGAAGAACACCGGUGGCGAAGGCGGCCUGCUGGGCAGCAGCUGACACUGAGGCGCGACAGCGUGGGGAGCAAACAGG